GAUGAAGAACGCAGCGAAAUGCGAUACGUAAUGUGAAUUGCAGAAUUCAGUGAAUCAUCGAAUCUUUGAACGCAUAUUGCGCUCUCUGGUAUUCCGGAGAGCAUGCUUGUUUGAGUAUCAGUAAACACCUCAACUUCCAUAUCUUUUUUGAAAUGGGAGUUGGACUUGAGUGAUCCCAACGCUUUUCCUCACCGAAAAGUGGCGGGUUACUUGAAAUGCAGGUGCAGCUGGACUUUUCUCUGAGCUAUAAGCAUAUCUAUUUAGUCUGCCUAAAAAACAGAUUAUUACCUUUGCUGCAGCUAACAUAAAGGAGAUUAGUUCUUGUGCAGACUGAUGCAGGAUUCACAAAGACAGCUUCGGCCGACUUUGUAAACUCGAUCUCAAAUCAAGUAAGACUACCCGCUGAACUUAAGCAUAUCAAUAAGCGGAGGA
rnacentral:misc_RNA from 1 species